UCAGUUAGUUAGGGACACACGCUCAGCCACUGGAGUGCAAAAAAGGUAUGUUAGGUUACACAUCAUGUAGAGCAAGCAAGGGCUUCCACCACUUGAGCAUGGGGUGCCUUUUUCCUUUAUUAUUUGAUUAUAAAACAUUUAAAAGCUAAACAUGUUUUACAUUGCUGAGCAGUAUAAAAGUUUGAUAGAGGAGGUGAACCUUUAGAAGGGGUUGAUAGGCUGUCUUGGUAGGAGAGAUAAGACUGAAAAUCUCUCUUUUUGUAAGCUUUGUGGAAUUAAGACAAAGGAGGAUGCAAAUAUUCACAUGAACCAGCUUUGUUACCCUCCCACCCCCAUCUGCCCAUCAACUGACUCCAUUCUUCAACUUGACAUCAUCCUGCCACACAGACAAGAAAAAGAAGAAGAAGAGGAGGAGGAGGAGGAGGAGGAGAAGAGAGAAGCAGAGGUGGGGAGCCAAACAAAACAGACAGAGAAAGAGGAGGAAGAGCUGAGAAGAGGCGGGCAGCACAGUUUCAGCUCUCACAAGGCUGAGGAGGAGAAAGUGAUGGCAGCUAGAACUUGGCCACUAGUGAGAUGAAAUUCGGGAAGGAGACGCUGGAGCACCGCAUGGUACGACAUCCCACGAGAGCCCUAAAAUUGGACCGCCUGGAAGACGAGCCAGCCCUCUCUGGAUUCCGUGCCCCUCCACAGCCGAAGGAUGAGAGGGGUUGACUUUCGCCUUAGUUGCCAGGGAUGUCUGUGCACUACAGGAAGGCGUCCCCCUCCAGCAUGUCCAAUGCUAUGUUAUUCCUGAUGCUUUGCAAGAUUGGUCUGAGACGAAAACUGCAGACUUUUCCAGGGAAAAUGGUAAACACUGUCUACAGUGAUGAGGAAAAGGGAAUCCAAGACAAGGAAAGUAAGGAGGAGACCAUCUUGGCCAUGUUGGGCAUCAUUGGGACUGUCCUCAACUUGGUAGUCAUCAUCUUUGUCUACAUCUACACUACGUUGUAGGUCUCAAACUCUUAUAGUACUUCAUCGGCAGGCAGAUCAGAGCUCAUCUGUGCUGUUGCAGCUGCACUAUGUUGACUGAUAUGGAGAUGAGGAUGGGAGGAGGAAGGAUGAGGCCCUUCUUCCCUGGUGGUGAAGUGGAUCUAAGACUGUGUGAUCACCAUAUGGCGUCCAUCCUGCAUCACUUCAGACAAACUGAGACUAUGGGAGACCGGCUUGUUUCUUUCCCUUUUACAGGUAGAAUUAUCCAGAAUAUCUGGACACUUUUGACUUGUACAUACAUGCAUGAAGCCAAUGAGAGACGCUCAAAAGAUGCAGCUUUUACCUUCACAGGAACACAAGAGACUGCGGAGAGUGUGGACACUUUUGGAAAAUAUUUUUCAGAUCUUCUUAAGUUCUUAAGUGACUUAUCAAAAUGAUUUCCUGAUUGGGAUGAAAGAUGAAGAUGUACAGAGAAAGCAAACGCAGGUAUCUUAAUUGCCAUUUAUUGUUUCUUCUCAAAGAUUCUCCCAAUAAUACACAAAAUACAUCCAUUUAUAUAAGAUUUAAAUAGGCAUAUUAUAGAAAACUGAUAUUCAGCUUGAUUUAUUGUUUGUUUUUAUAGUGUAUUUCUCACUAUUUUCUGGAACUAUUGACUGUGGUUGAUGAUUUCAACAUCUGAAAAUAAGUUGCAGGUUGUUUAAUGUUAAUUUACUGAGACAAGUGGGAGCAUUAUGUUAGUCUAAAAAGCUGAAAUGCAUCCAUAAAUGGCUGCACUUGACUUCGUGCUUGACAUUAUGCUUGAUAGAAAAUGGUGGAAGAUCAGACAGAUUAGUACAAAAUGGCUUGAUUAUCAUUUAUUAUUCAUUUUUUAAUGCAUCACUUCAGCCUUUAAAGGUCAUUAACACUGAAAUAAGAUGCAUCCAUGUGUGAGAAAGUGGUUUUAACAUUUUGUCAAAGUCUUAGCUUGGGUGGCUGAGGAGCAUCUUCAAGAGAGUGUUUUACUCAUUGGCCUCAGCUAGCUGCGGCAGUGAGUCCUACCACACAGUAUAUUUCAGGCUGCAUGAGUAUAUUAACAUGCACAUUUACAAACACUUACAUGCAACAUAAUUUGAGCUUAUAAAUAUAUAUAUAUAAUUUAGAACUUUCCACCCAUAAAUGUACAUAGAGUUUACUGAGCUUGAGAGCUUAAGAUAUUUAACAUUUUUCAGCCACUGAUCUGAGUUUGUGCAUCAUUUAUUCUUAGAUUUGUGCAUAAUGACUGUUUGCCUUAAAACAUGAGGAAAUGGCUAUUUCCAUGAUGUAUAAAAUUAUCAGGUUAUUACUACUUUGUGAAAGGUUUCACUUAUUGUAUAUACAUAUAAUUCAAUACCAAUGUCAUAUUGUUUUUAUUGAAAGGUCAUUUAUUGGGUGAUUUUAUAACUGUAUUCUACUCUUAAACAACAGGCAAAACCUUUUAGUUUUUAAAUUGAGUGAAGUUUCCAGACCUGGGCCAACUUUUCAUUAUUAUUCAUUGUUCUGUUCUGUGGUGUAAGACGGGUGUGGGUUUUGCCACACUGGACAAUACUGUGAAUGUUGUGAAAUUUACAUAGUCACGUGAAUUUUUAGAAUAACUUUUGGUAUUUUUCCUCUUUGAUCGACUGGACUGACACUGUGUCAUUUGUCCUUGACGUCUUACACUCAUGUCCAUCUGAGAGUUGAAGCAGGUUCGAACAAACAAAGGCUAAAUUUAUUUGACUCAGGACUGGAAAUAACUUUUUUUUUUGUAUUUAAGGAUAACUCAAGAAAGCAUAAGGGAAAAAUGUGUCAAAAAUUAUUUCUGCAUUCAUGAGUUGACCAGAAUCUGGGCCAGUAUACUUCAGUUUCUGCAAACUGAAUCAGGUUAGGUCAAUUUGAACUGAGCUGAACUUUCUAUAUUUAGUAACUUCUUGUGAAGGAGACCUGCAAAAUGAUUUACCUGUAUCCAUGUUUUCAGCUAGUCGUCAGAUAUAGAUUUGAAUUAUUUAUUAUUUCAACAUUUUGGAAAAACACAGAGAUAAAGUGAAUAAGCAUAUUCCUCAAAAUGUCAAACUAAUCCUCUAAAGAAAGAAGCUAUUCCGUGAGAGAUGAGCCUAUAAAUAAGGAUGUACAGUAUGGAGAGAAUGUAAGGUUAUAGGCAACACGAUACAUUAUGUUUGUAAAAUAUUAUGUUUGUGUUUGUCAGUCAAGAACCUCAUGAUAUCAGAAAGUGCCUGAGAUAAAAGUGUCUCAACCUCACCAGUCGGGAAGUGAGGGAAAGGAAAAAACGCAAACCACUGAAAGCAGUGAGAUUAUCUGUGUAAGGCCACCUGUCACAUGACCAGGAGAGUAGUAAGAGGUUUGCAGGAAAACAUGCAUCCUGAUCCACUUCACUGCAUCCAUAAUGGGACUGGAUUUUUACAUGGCUUAGUCAAUAUAAAGUCAGUCUUGUUUUUGUUUCUUCAAUUUCUUUGGGGUGAAGUGCUCCCUCUUGUUUUACAGAAUAUGGAAAACAAUAGCUUGGUAAGCACACGGACAAGUCUUACGAAUGUAUUCAUAUUCGAUGUAAAAGUUGAUUAUCCCUCUUCUCCUUAUUGUUUACUUAUCUUUCCUGAACCUAUGUAACCUGAACUCUUCUUACGUUUUAUUUACGUGUAUGCUAAAUCUAUUUAAACUCAUUGAAUAGUCUCUUGUGACAAAUGGAAGGGUUAAAAGUUUUUUCAGCUUGCAGUUUUGUUACAAAACAUUAAAUAAAUACAUCUUGAAACUGA